rnacentral:rRNA from 1 species
GUGGUUUAUUCGAUGAUACGCGAGGAACCUUACCCGGGCUUGAAUUGCAACUGAAUGAUGUGGAGACAUGUCAGCCGCAAGGCAGUUGUGAAGGUGCUGCAUGGUUGUCGUCAGCUCGUGCCGUGAGGUGUCGGCUUAAGUGCCAUAACGAGCGCAACCCUUAUCGAUAGUUACCAUCAGGUGAUGCUGGGGACUCUGUCGAGACUGCCGUCGUAAGAUGUGAGGAAGGUGGGGAUGACGUCAAAUCAGCACGGCCCUUACGUCCGGGGCUACACACGUGUUACAAUGGGGGGUACAGAAGGCAGCUACACGGCGACGUGAUGCUAAUCCCGAAAGCCUCUCUCAGUUCGGAUUGGAGUCUGCAACCCGACUCCAUGAAGCUGGAUUCGCUAGUAAUCGCGCAUCAGCCACGGCGCGGUGAAUACGUUCCCGGGCCUUGUACACACCGCCCGU